UGGGGAAUUUUGGACAAUGGGCGAAAGCCUGAUCCAGCAAUGCCGCGUGUGUGAAGAAGGCCUUCGGGUUGUAAAGCACUUUUGUCCGGAAAGAAAUCCUUGGCUCUAAUACAGUCGGGGGAUGACGGUACCGGAAGAAUAAGCACCGGCUAACUACGUGCCAGCAGCCGCGGUAAUACGUAGGGUGCAAGCGUUAAUCGGAAUUACUGGGCGUAAAGCGUGCGCAGGCGGUUUGCUAAGACCGAUGUGAAAUCCCCGGGCUCAACCUGGGAACUGCAUUGGUGACUGGCAGGCUAGAGUAUGGCAGAGGGGGGUAGAAUUCCACGUGUAGCAGUGAAAUGCGUAGAGAUGUGGAGGAAUACCGAUGGCGAAGGCAGCCCCCUGGGCCAAUACUGACGCUCAUGCACGAAAGCGUGGGGAGCAAACAGGAUUAGAUACCCUGGUAGUCCACGCCCUAAACGAUGUCAACUAGUUGUUGGGGAUUCAUUUCCUUAGUAACGUAGCUAACGCGUGAAGUUGACCGCUGGGGAGUACGGUCGCAAGAUUAAAACUUAAAGGAAUUGACGGGGUCAUAGCUGUUUCCU
rnacentral:rRNA from 1 species